CCGGACCUUCCUGCCCACCUUGCAGAUGAAACAUUCGGUCUUAAAUGGAGACUCCUUUACUGGUGAAAAACCAAUUUAACAGCAUGCGGAAAAUUGAGCAAGAUACUAAAGUUCUAAACCUGAGAGCAGUACUGAAGUGAUUCUCAUCUGGGAAUUGUUCUAAGGUCUCCUGUAGAGCAUUUAGUCUCAAGCAAAGGUCCCAGAGCAUCUGUGAGCGUCACUUAGAAGAAACGUUUGCGUCUGCUGCCAAAAUGACCUUGAAAACUGACCAUUUCUUCCAAAUCUGAACAUCUACCUGCCCGACAAUGGAGCGACCCACAUGGUAUGUACACAAUAGCAAUGCAAAUAUACAUUCACAAAAGCCAUAUGCAGGAACAUUUCCAGCUAUACUAUUUAUAGUCAAAAACUGGAAAGAACCCAAACUCCCAG
rnacentral:lncRNA from 1 species